UCCACUUCGGGUUUUAUAGAUCCUCAUGCUCCUGAAACGCUGAUGUAGAAGUUUAGAAUUACUUGGAAGAGCACUGCAUCUGCAUGAUGAAGGUAACUUGACAACGACAUGUGAGUGAUCAGUUCCCCUUGGAUCCACCACAUAUGGUGAAGAUGCUCAUUGUGAGUUAUCAAUGUAACUGCUCAAACGAGAUUCUCUCUGUUUCAGCCCUUGUCUCAGGUAUUCCUUUCCUUUUUUUUUAUAUAUAUCCUUGCUAGCUUUGGUUAGGUAUGUAGUUAAACUUGCUACCAAUUUCCAUUCUGCAACUAGAACUCAUCUUUUUCUUCCAUAUGUAUGAUUAUCAUUCAGAGUUUUAGUAUUAGGAGUUAGGUGUUAUCACCAGCAGCUCUAGUCUGGGUUCUGCACACCCUUGGUUAGGGGAAUCCUAAGUAAGUGCUGAUGUAGAUAAAUACUAGUUGCAGUUUCUCAAUUAUUAAUGGUAUCAGUCUCAUCGCCUCUAUGCAUCUUCUCAUCUCUUCUGUUACCAAAUCUUUCUCUGCUUUAUUCGGCCUAGAGAGGCUCUAAAAGCAGCAGAUGCUAGGUUUGGACACAUUGAUGAUUUGUCUACCAUGCUUUUAAGCAAAACAUCAAGUAACUUUAAGCAAAACAGUAAGUGAUUGUCCCAAAUGGUGCUGUGAAAACUUCAUCAACAACAAAGUGAUGAAAUCUGCAGACAAUGUUAGACAACAACACCAAGUGGUUCAUUUGCAUCCAUUAAAUUGCUUGGAUUGCACACAAACCUCAGUGGGUAAGUCCUUACAUUUCUCCUCAUGAAACGUGUCCCCCUAGAAGCUUUAUAAGAAGAGAGAAAGGGAAAAGGGAAGAGAGCAAGAGCAGGAAGUGAUGAACAAUCAUAUAUCCUCAGAUGUCAAUGUUUAAUACUACCUUGGACAAAUAGGUAGCUGCUCCCUCUCCUCUGUGGUUAAAAUUUCGGAACAACCACUAAGUCGCCUGAGGAUGCUCAAUAGUCAAAGACAACACAUCCCUUGCAGCUGCAAUCUACAUAGCCACCAUGUGUUCCAUGAAUGCACAAAACAUAUUAUCAAGUUGCAGAUCCUCACUCAAGAUCGGUGCCCUCAUCAGUCUGUUUACAGAAGGAUCUCCCCCUCUUCAGUCUUCUCUUUCCAGCUAUGUCUUCUCCUCCUCUGAUGCCUCCCUAUCUUCGAUAUUCUGCAAUGAAAAACACUACUGAACAAAAACAUCAAAUUAGUGAUCUUCUUCAUCAAGAAGAAAUCAAUGAAGACUUUAAUCCAUCAUCUUAACCAAGUAAUGGAUCAAGAUCUAGCAAUAUAACGGAUCCCCUUCCAAGUAAACAUAGAGUGGUGAACAUUUUUAAUGAUAACCCACAUAUGUGCAUAGUCUUGACUUCCGGUAGAGCAUCCUUUGUGAUGGGUGUCUAUUUAAACUCAACAAUUCGAAGAUCACAUACAUUCCAUAUACCCCUUUUGAGUACAUGCGAUCGAGCUAAGGUGUCAAGGACGUGAAACUUUACGGUAGUCUCAUUCACACUGAAAACAUCAAUCUGUAUAUACUUAUAUCUCUGAGAUUCCAAAUCUUGUUGACAAUAAUGUAGGUGUUAGUAACAUGAGAAGGCACAGUGGGAAACCGCCCCACUAGAUAAUUGUGGAUUUGAAACUUUCUUCUGAUUGACUUGAUAAAGAAAGUAUAUAUGUACAUAAAAUAUACUUGGGAAAGAAAUUCUUGAUCUG